rnacentral:lncRNA from 1 species
UGCGAGUGGUGCAGCAAUGCGGGCCCAGUUUGCCAGCGGGAGAUUAACAGAUCUGCAGCGUGUGAAUCUGCUGGAGGAGCUGCUGCAGGCUCAUGAGCGCGCCGUGGAGAAGCGCAAGGCUGAGGCCAGGGAAUCCUUGAUGAAGGAUGCCCAGCAAAUACGGGAAGAAAGAAUGACUGCCACGAAAGAUGAGCUGGAUCAGGAGAAGCAGCUCAUUGCCCAGCUGGAACAGCAGCUGCAGGCUGGGAGAAAGGAGAUCAAGGUGCUGCGCCAGGAAAAAGAGCGCCUGCAACAGGAGCGGGAGGAGCUGGAGUUGAAGAGAGCCUGCCUCCAGCUGCUGCUUUUUGCCGUGCUGGGCUGUGCAGUGCUGUACGCCCAGCACUAUGACCAGGAGCUUUUCUAUCGGCUCCUGCUGCGAGUGCUGCCCCGAGCAAUGUACGCCUCCCUGGCGUACUUUGCGAGCAGGAGCCUGCGUGUGGUCUGUGAUGGGCUGCUGCCCAUCUGACCGCCCCAUCUCAGUCCCCCCUCCCAGCCUGGGGCUGCGCGGUGGGGCGCGGCGAGAGGGCUCUGUCCCCACGAAAGGGGCCUCCCCUGUGCUCCUGCCCCCAGGGGCGCACAGGCACAGCUGUGGGGCAGUGCCGGAAGGCGGCUGAGUGCCACCACUUUGGACUUACAAAUAAGUUUGUACUGUCGUCGUGAGUCGUCAUCAACUGAACACCACCACCUCCGACGACCCAUCAGACUGAAGAUCUGCACCUGACACCAGGAUGUGGCUUCCUCGAUUCUUUGAGUCUUCAUAGCAGCCAUUUCCUAUGACUGGUUACCUCGAAGGCUUAUGAAUUGUAAUUAGCCCAUUAGGCAAUGUUACC